rnacentral:rRNA from 1 species
AUUGAACGCUGGCGGCAGGCCUAACACAUGCAAGUCGAACGGUAACAGGAAGCAGCUUGCUGCUUCGCUGACGAGUGGCGGACGGGUGAGUAAUGUCUGGGAAGCUGCCUGAUGGAGGGGGAUAACUACUGGAAACGGUAGCUAAUACCGCAUAAUGUCGCAAGCCCAAAGAGGGGGACCUUCGGGCCUCUUGCCAUCGGAUGUGCCCAGAUGGGAUUAGCUUGUUGGUGGGGUAACGGCUCACCAAGGCGACGAUCCCUAGCUGGUCUGAGAGGAUGACCAGCCACACUGGGACUGAGACACGGUCCAGACUCCUACGGGAGGCAGCAGUGGGGAAUAUUGCACAAUGGGCGCAAGCCUGAUGCAGCCAUGCCGCGUGUAUGAAGAAGGCCUUCGGGUUGUAAAGUACUUUCAGCGGGGGGGAAGGGAGUAAAGUUAAUACCUUUGCUCAUUGACGUUACCCGCAGAAGAAGCACCGGCUAACUCCGUG